rnacentral:rRNA from 1 species
AACAGCUCAAAUUUGAAAUCUGGCCCUCGGGUCCGAGUUGUAAUUUGUAGAGGAUGCUUUUGGCGCGGUGCCUUCCGAGUUCCCUGGAACGGGACGCCUUAGAGGGUGAGAGCCCCGUACGGUUGGACACCAAGCCUCUGUAAAGCUCCUUCGACGAGUCGAGUAGUUUGGGAAUGCUGCUCUAAAUGGGAGGUAAAUUUCUUCUAAAGCUAAAUAUUGGCCAGAGACCGAUAGCGCACAAGUAGAGUGAUCGAAAGAUGAAAAGCACUUUGAAAAGAGGGUUAAACAGCACGUGAAAUUGUUGAAAGGGAAGCGUUUGCGACCAGACCUUUUCCUGGCGGAUCAUCCGGUGGUUUCCACCGGUGCACUUCGCCAGGUCGAGGCCAGCAUCGGUCUCUGUAGGGGGAUAAAAGCUCGGGGAACGUAGCUCCUCCGGGAGUGUUAUAGCCCUCUGCAUAAUACCCUUAUGGGGACCGAGGACCGCGCCUUCGGGCAAGGAUGCUGGCGUAAUGGUUGUCAACGACCCGUCUUGAAACACGGACCAAGGAGUCGAACAUUUGUGCGAGUGUUUGGGUGUCAAACCCUCACGCGUAAUGAAAGUGAACGGAGGUGAGAGCCCUUACGGGUGCAUCAUCGACCGAUCCUGAUGUCUUCGGAUGGAUUUGAGUAAGAGCAUAACUGUUCGGACCCGAAAGAUGGUGAACUAUGCGUGGAUAGGGUGAAGCCAGAGGAAACUCUGGUGGAGGCUCGCAGCGGUUCUGACGUGCAAAUCGAUCGUCAAAUCUGCG